CGCUCUCUCGGUUUCCGAGGUUCUUUGAAAUGAACCGGUGCGCUCUCUCGGUUUCCGAGGUUCCGAGAACCGGUGCGCUCUUUCGGUUUCCGACCCUACAAACAACGAGCGGGAUAUUCCCAAGUAGCAGAGCCGAAGUUGUUGAGAGGUUUUUCUGUGAGCCAAAGCGAGAGGCCCUGUCUUCUCUCUCUAGAUUUUGGACGGCAAACCGCCGCCCGUGCAGAGGUGUGUGCGUGUGACGAAAAAUUAUGGAUGAAAUACGGGGGAAGCGGGGUCUGAAGUUUUUCGUUCGUCACACACACAUGCAUUUACCAGCGGAUAUCGCUGGACCGAGUCUACCCAUCUCUCUCGAUCCACCAUGAUUUUUCUGCUAUCGCGCUCAUCCGGGUGUUAGGAAUCCUCAGUCUGUCCAGAACUUUCGUUGUGGAAGGAUGUACUGAAGUGAGGUGCGAUUUCUUGUGCGACGUACUUUGCUCAUUUACGUUUUGUGCCGUGUUCCUUCUUCCUCAGUUAUGGAAUGAUUUAUCCUAGCAAAUUGUUGAGGUGUGUGCGCUAUUUAUCAACGACUACCUGCUAGCCUCGUCAACAAUCUUCAAAGUGAGCGACGGAAAGAAAACGUUUUCCAGUUUUAAAAUAUUAAGCCCCCGGUGAGGACGUCAUUACUUAACAGAAGCCGGUUCAACACGCGCAGCAUGGAUGGUACCACGAGCGCAGUAGGAGGAAGGAAGAACGAGAGGAGGAAGAACGGUAAAUUUGGA